rnacentral:rRNA from 1 species
UACGUAGGGACCAAGCGUUGUCCGGAUUUAUUGGGCGUAAAGAGCUCGUAGGCGGUUCAGCAAGUCGGGUGUGAAAACUCUGGGCUCAACCCGGAGACGCCAGCCGAUACUGUUGUGACUCGAGUCCGGUAGGGGAGUGGGGAAUUCCUGGUGUAGCGGUGAAAUGCGCAGAUAUCAGGAGGAACACCGGUGGCGAAGGCGCCACUCUGGGCCGGUACUGACGCUGAGGAGCGAAAGCGUGGGUAGCAAACAGG